rnacentral:rRNA from 1 species
GAUGAACGCUGGCGGCGUGCCUAAUACAUGCAAGUAGAACGCUGAAGGAGGAGCUUGCUCUUCUGGAUGAGUUGCGAACGGGUGAGUAACGCGUAGGUAACCUGCCUGGUAGCGGGGGAUAACUAUUGGAAACGAUAGCUAAUACCGCAUGACAACAGUUAUUGCAUGAUAACUGUUUAAAAGGGGCAACUGCUCCACUACCAGAUGGACCUGCGUUGUAUUAGCUAGUUGGUGAGGUAACGGCUCACCAAGGCGACGAUACAUAGCCGACCUGAGAGGGUGAUCGGCCACACUGGGAAUGAGACACGGCCCAGACUCCUACAGGAGGGAGCAGGAGGGAAUCUUUGGCAAUGGACGGAAGUCUGACCGAGCAACGCCACGUGAGUGAAGAAGGUUUUCGGAUCGUAAAGCUCUGUUGCAAGAGGAGAACGAGUGUGGGAGUGGAAAGUUCACAGUGUGACGGUAUCUGACCAGAAAGGGACGGCUAACUACGUG